rnacentral:lncRNA from 1 species
UAAAGACACCGAUGAAAAGGGAGGGGUGGGAGAAGCUGAACACAGACCACAGGGGGAGCUGCUAGCAGUGCUGCACCCCUUCCCAAACAUGGCCGCUUUUUGAGACUGAACUAGCUGUGGGCUUUGAAGCAAAAGGCCUCAGGGUGGAAAAUGAAAGAUGCUUAAGGUCACUGCCCCUCCUGUUCUGUACACAAGCCUAAGCUCGGGAGGAAAUAAUUUGAGGUAUCUGGAAGAAGCAGAGAGAGCAGGGCAGCUCUGAAGUCACUGCGAGGCUGUGAGAGGUCAGCCAGCGCUUCAAAGGACCCCAGGACCUUUGCAUAACCCUGGACUGAAUGGGAAGGGAAAGUCCCAGUCAUGACAGAAACGGAAUUUCCCACCAACUCAGUAGGAGGUUUGGGGUUCAGGGUCAGUUUCAUGGCAGUGCAAACAAAAUAAAGAAAAUGUGAUAUUUAUUGCUUACUUAAAUUUGUGGACCAAACUGCCUACCAUGCUAUCCACACUGUUUCCUGCAGGUGGUCAAUGUGGGCUUAAGGGAAAAGUAACUCAUCUUAAUAUUUGCUUAAAUCAAAUGGAAUAUAGAAAGUAAAUAAAUCUGCUGCCAAGCCAUCAAGUAGGGCAUUCUAAACCCAAAAUAAAGAGCCUAUGGACUGUCUGUGGAUUUAGAUUAUGCAUAGUUUUCUGCCACCACUCCCUGUAUUCAAAUCAAUAGUCACAUUUCAUUGCAGACACUUGGAGCUGUCUGGGUUCAAAUCCCAGCUCUGUUGCUUAUUAGCUGAGACACUUCAGCCAAGGUACUGACACUCUCUGUGCCUCAAUUUCCCCAGCCAUUAAGUAGGAGUCAUAAUUGCAUAACCCCCACAGGGUGGAUGUGACAAUUCAACCGGAUCACAAAAGUGCAUGCUCAGCCUAGUGCCUGGCACACUGUAAGGAUCAAUAAACAGGAGCUAUUAUUAUUAUGCUAAUUUGAAGGAUUCUUGUUUUUAAACGUCCUCAUUUCACAUUGCAGAUACCCAAAUAGAAACACAGAUUUUCAUUUGCUUACAAACCUUCCACUUUUCUCCAGCUAGAAGUUACAGGUGGCCCCUAUGGGUGAAUGUGUUAGGUAACACUCACACUUUAAGCAAGGGGAAAUGCAGGCCCAGAGAGAGU